rnacentral:rRNA from 1 species
UUGAACGCUGGCGGCAGGCCUAACACAUGCAAGUCGAGCGGAUGAAGGGAGCUUGCUCCUGGAUUCAGCGGCGGACGGGUGAGUAAUGCCUAGGAAUCUGCCUGGUAGUGGGGGAUAACGUCCGGAAACGGGCGCUAAUACCGCAUACGUCCUGAGGGAGAAAGUGGGGGAUCUUCGGACCUCACGCUAUCAGAUGAGCCUAGGUCGGAUUAGCUAGUUGGUGGGGUAAAGGCCUACCAAGGCGACGAUCCGUAACUGGUCUGAGAGGAUGAUCAGUCACACUGGAACUGAGACACGGUCCAGACUCCUACGGGAGGCAGCAGUGGGGAAUAUUGGUCAAUGGGCGAAAGCCUGAUCCAGCCAUGCCGCGUGUGUGAAGAAGGUCUUCGGAUUGUAAAGCACUUUAAGUUGGGAGGAAGGGCAGUAAGUUAAUACCUUGCUGUUUUGACGUUACCAACAGAAUAAGCACCGGCUAACUUCGUG